CGCCCAUCGCGUCUCUCGAUCUCGCGGCGCGCCCUCGCAAUCCAAAGCCAUCCAAAGGCAUCUCUCGCGAGCCUUCUCCCGUUUCACCCACGACUCCGAUCAUCGGCCUCGUCGGCGUCUUCUUUACAGCUUCGCUGCAAACACAUUUGUCUUAGCGGCGCGUUUUAAAUAGCAAAGAAUGCACACGGAACGCAGCGUGAUGUUUCGCGUGCACGCCUCCACCCAAUGGCGUGGCCUACGCACUCCACGUGUCCGGGCCCGACCCGAUGGUCAAGACGGUGGUUGAGGCCUUUGCGGAACCGUCGUGAGCAGAGUGGAUGAACGAAGUCGGCGUUCAUGGUCCAGCAAAGAUUGUGUGAGCUGCACCAGUUUGGGAUCUGGCCCAGUGAACAAGAGUCCGGUGCCUGGUGUGAAGAGAGGUUGCCUCUGAUGCACGUGCCCAGCAGGCGUGUGUUCUGCUGUGGGCAUCGGCCAGCAGCGUGGAUGGAUGAAGCCUGGUAUUCCUGACCCAAAGAGCAGAGGAGGUUGGGAUCUGGGGCGACUGCUCUGUGCCCAGAGUGACCAGAAGAGUUACGGGUUUACGCAGAGAAAAGAAAAGAGAUCAUCAUGGCCGUUUGCUGAAAAUCAGAACUGAAGAUUGGGCUGAAAAACAAGAACUUAACUAUUCCUAUAAACGGCAUUGCCCAUGGGAAUAACCACUGUGGUUGAACGAUAAAAAAUUGUAAUAUAAUCAUGGAGCAUAAUUGAUUUAAAAAAAAGUUGAUUAUGCCCCCCCCCGUGUUAUGCAUUUUUUAAAUGUAAUACUUGCUAAGUUGUGAACACUGCCUUAUAACAUUAAACAGUGUAUGAAAUGGGCUGGUGCACGGCUGUAUGCACCACUUGGAACACCAAAUGUGUAUACUGGCACACUUAACAUUUUAACCUAACAUCACCAAUAUUUGGAAAUGGCCGUGGGCUGCAGGAUCAAGUUUCGUACCGGCACUUCUGUAUUUGCGUUUCAACCACUGACCAGAAAAAAUAAUGGGCUAAAAUGGGGCAAUGGCCCUUAAAGUAUUGAUAAGGCAAAGAGCAACUUUAAUUUUUGUUCAUUGCGAAGUGUUGGUUGAAUGGUUCAAUACAGUAUAGCAUACUGUUCUGCUUGGUAAACUGUUGCAUCGGGCCUAUGUUAUCAGAAAAUUUUGGCAUCCACACAAUGUGUAUCUCAUUUUUAUCCUUCGAGUCCAAGACACUGCUAAUGCCACAAAUUGUUACAAAUAUAUGAAAUGUAUGUCUAUGGAUUGAAAGUUUUAAUUAAAAAAUUCGUAUUCCAACUUUU